rnacentral:miRNA from 1 species
ACUGUGUGUAUACAUGGGCGUGUGUGUGCACGUGCAUGCACAUGUAUGUAUACAUACACACACACACACACACACAGAAAAUCA